AUUGAACGCUGGCGGCAGGCCUAACACAUGCAAGUCGAGCGGAUGAAGGGAGCUUGCUCCUGGAUUCAGCGGCGGACGGGUGAGUAAUGCCUAGGAAUCUGCCUGGUAGUGGGGGAUAACGUCCGGAAACGGGCGCUAAUACCGCAUACGUCCUGAGGGAGAAAGUGGGGGAUCUUCGGACCUCACGCUAUCAGAUGAGCCUAGGUCGGAUUAGCUAGUUGGUGGGGUAAAGGCCUACCAAGGCGACGAUCCGUAACUGGUCUGAGAGGAUGAUUCGUCAACCCGGAACUUGAGCACGGUCCAGACUCCUACGGGAGGCAGCAGUGGGGAAUAUUGGACAAUGGGCGAAAGCCUGAUCCAGCCAUGCCGCGUGUGUGAAGAAGGUCUUCGGAUUGUAAAGCACUUUAAGUUGGGAGGAAGGGCAGUAAGUUAAUACCUUGCUGUUUUGACGUUACCAACAGAAUAAGCACCGGCUAACUUCGUG
rnacentral:rRNA from 1 species